UGCCAGCCGCCGCGGUAAUACGGAGGGUGCAAGCGUUGUUCGGAAUCAUUGGGCGUAAAGCGCGCGUAGGCGGUUUGGCAAGUCGGAUGUGAAAUCCCGGGGCUCAACCCCGGAACUGCAUUCGAUACUGCUUGACUAGAGUCUCGGAGAGGUAGGCGGAAUUCCCGGUGUAGAGGUGAAAUUCGUAGAUAUCGGGAGGAACACCAGUGGCGAAGGCGGCCUACUGGACGAUGACUGACGCUGAGGUGCGAAAGCGUGGGGAGCGAACAGGAUUAGAUA
rnacentral:rRNA from 1 species